CCAACUUCGUACUGACUUGCUUUUUGAGUUAGUUUGUUCUUUUGGCUCCUGCCAAACUUGUAACUUUGUUUCUAUCUGUCACACCUGCACUUACCUUCGUUUUGUGAUUCCUGAGCAAGUCUCAAGCAAGUCCCAAGUUACAGUGAUGAAAGUCAUGUCAUUGCUUCGGUCAAGCAACUCACAAGUCAAGUCAUAUGAAAUUCUUAGGAAUUCACAGUUUAAGAAAGGUGGCAAUUCAACUGCAUAAUCAUUUUGGUGAUGUACUGAGUGUUUCUGUUCUAACUAUUUAGUUUAAUGAAAUUGGGUAGAAUAAUAGAGUAAUAGAAAUGUGUCAGUAACGGUAAGCUCUUACCAUUCCUGUAAAAUUCAUUUUAUUAGGACAAAUUUAUUGUCCUCCAACUGCGUAUAUCACGUAACUAUUUUGGUCCAGUCAUGACUGAGUGAUGCCUACAACUUCGACUACUUUAAUUAACCCAGGAUGGAAUUUAAGAAGAAUAAGGAACUUGGAAAUGGCUGUUGAGAAAACAACAAUUUCACCUCAGCUACAGACUUUGGCUCCUCUUCCUGGCUGUCUGUUAUGCAUUUGCUUGGUCUCUCGGCGUCCCCGUGUGUAUGUGUGGGAGGAUUCCCCUUCUCUGGGCCAUAUGUCCGUCUUCCUUCGCUGCCCGGUGCAGGAUCAGCCUCAUUCAUUCUCCCUGCUGUCCUGUCUCUCAGUGACAGUUGAAUUGCCUCCUAAUUGAGUUGCCUCUUAGUGAUAGUUCAGCUGCUCCUCAGUGUUGAUGGAUUUAAAACAUUUUUAGCUGGACUUGUGUUUGCCUUUUCCUUCUGAAUGUGCUACUCCUUUUUUUUUUUU